AUGCUCUCUCCAACAGCACAUAUGCUAAAACUGAAAUGAUAUAGAGAAGACAAGCAUGGCCCUUUUAUAUCAGAAAACAAGCACUUUUAUAUCUUGUAGCCUACUUCU
rnacentral:snRNA from 1 species